UGGGGAAUAUUGGACAAUGGGGGAAACCCUGAUCCAGCGAUGCCGCGUGAGUGAAGAAGGCCCUCGGGUCGUAAAGCUCUUUAGGUUGGGAAGAAGGGUGCAAGUUGAAUACACUUGUGCUUUGACGGUACCAACAGAAUAAGCACCGGCAAAUUCUGUGCCAGCAGCCGCGGUAAUACAGAAGGUGCGAGCGUUAAUCGGAUUUACUGGGCGUAAAGGGCACGUAGGCGGUAGGAUGUGUGUGAUGUGAAAGCCCCGGGCUCAACCUGGGAAGUGCAUCGCAAACUAUUUAACUAGAGUAGAUGAGAGGGUGGCGGAAUUUCCGGUGUAGCGGUGAAAUGCGUAGAGAUCGGAAGGAACGUCAAUGGCGAAGGCAGCCACCUGGCAUCAUACUGACGCUGAGGUGCGAAAGCGUGGGGAGCGAACA
rnacentral:rRNA from 1 species